rnacentral:rRNA from 1 species
UUACCGGCUUGAAAGGACCGAAAGUCCUUCGGGCCUAGGUGCUGCAUGGCUGUCGUCAGCUCGUGCCGUGAGGUGUUGGGUUAAGUCCCGCAACGAGCGCAACCCUAUUCUAGUUGCCAGCGGACGGGACUCUAAGAAACUGCCCGCGUAACGUGAGGAAGGUGGGGAUGACGUCAAGUCAGCACGGCCCUUACGCCGGGCUACACACGUGCUACAAUGGGAGACAUGGGGCAUAGUAAUAGAUGCAAUCUCCAAAUCUUCUCAGUUCGGAUUGAGGUCUGCAACUCGACCUCAUGAAGCUGGAUUCGCUAGUAAUCGGAAUCAGCAUGUCCGGUGAAUACGUUCCCGGGCCUUGUACACACCGCCCGUCAAACAAUGGAAGCUGGGGACCGAA